AGAGCUAAUACAGUUCCUGGAUGACAAAAGUUUGUCGCUGGUUAUGAGGGAAGCAGCAGACGAUGGAAGAGCAGCAUUGAAGAUUCUUCGGGAAUAUUAUGCUGGCAAAGGAAAGCCCAGAGUGAUUAGCUUAUACACAGAGCUAACGUCAUUGCAAAAGUCGCCCAGUGAGUGUGUUACUGAUUAUGUCAUCAGGGCUGAGACCGCAAUCACCGCUUUGAGGAACGCAGGUGAGAAUCUGAGUGAUGGACUUUUAAUAGCAAUGGUUCUGAAAGGACUUCCAGAGACAUUUAAGCCAUUUGCCAUUCAUGUUAGCCAGAGAGAUGAUUAAUUGAGUUUUGCAGAAUUUAAGACGAGGCUUCGAAGUUAUGAAGACAUGGAAAAUAUGCGGACAACCGUAUCCGAGGACAAUGUUAUGAAAGCUGGAGCGCAGCCUGGAAGAAAAAACGAUUUUGUGGGUACAGCUGUUUGUGGUGCUGGUACAAACAUUGUUUGUUUCAAGUGUGGUACAAGAGGCCACAAAGCAAGAACAUGUCAGCUUAAACAGUGGUGCAGUCAGUGUAAAAGUAACAGUCACCGCGACGCAACGUGCAGACGGGGAAGGCAGCGGGACAAUGCACAAAAAGUUUCCGCAGAGCCAAGUGACAAGGAGUAUGCUUUUCGGGCAAGCGACGCUGAGAUGCGGGUACAAACUACCAAGAGGAAAGGCCUAAUGGUGGAUGCAGGUGCAACUUCCCACAUCAUCACGGACAUCGAGAAGUUUCAGAGGUUUGACAGCAGUUUUCAGGCCAACACACAUUGCUUGGAAUUGGCUGACGGCACUCGGUGUAACGGGGUCGCAAAGCAAAGAGGAGACGCGGAGGUAUAUUUGAUUGACUACACGGGACGACGCGUCAAAGCGAUGCUGAGAAACGCGCUGUACAUCCCAGCAUAUCCACAGGACAUUUUCUCUGUUUGGGACAGGCAACCCAGUCACACUGCGAGAUGUCAUGUGACUUAAUUAAUGACUGAGUGAAAUCAUUACUAAUGUCGGCCCAAUCAGUGGCAAGAUGUAUAAAACCACGCCGUAGUAAAGAGACAGAUCGCUCAAUGGGUUCAAGUUGGAAUGUUGUCUUUCAUUCUGGUUGGUAAGGUCAGUGACUGUAACAUUGAGGGUAUUUUACAGUAUUAAACACACAUUUAAUGAUUUCAUCAGGCUUCAGAUUUUAAAAAGAAGACAAAGAAUGGCCUCUCAGCUACCGUAGUUGCAACUCUUGCGUCAUCACAACAGGGUGUUCACAGUUCAACACAUCAUCUGUUUCUGUUUAAUAAACGUUGUGCAACGGGGAUGAACCCAGCUCAGAUUUUCCCCUGACCCUGCAGGCACCAUCUCGUGAUCAUCCACCAUCGAGACUUUUGUUAAAGAGUUACUAAGCUGAUAUAUGUGAGUUUCUACAAAGAGAAAUCAUGAACUUCAGACUCUCAUCACUGAUCCUGCUGUUACACAUUCAAGGGUUCCUAACAUUGGAUAAUUUUAAUGUAACCUGUGAUGAACUGAAUAUUUGUGCUGUUAGGGGGACACUAAUGAGUGUGAACUGCGAUCACUCAAACAUCAACAUCAAAACUGUGUUCUGGUUCAGUCAGAAACAGAGAACAAACUGGAGAAACAAAGAUGAACCUGAAGAUUUGACUUUAGAUUCAGAUUACUCAGGACGAAUUGGUCAGUGGAUAACUGAAGAUUACUUAGGACUCUCAAUACAUGAUCUGAGAGAGAGAGAGACAGUGGAGAAUAUCAGCUCAUGAUCAUUAUGAAGGAUGGAGUUAAACAUCUC